GAUUCAGAAGGUAAUUCUGACUGGAUCGCUAUAAUAAAAGGGUAGGGCGUCAAUUCCCCCUGCGACUUGCAAGUUCACCCCCAGAAAACAGGACUAUCUGCCCGCAAGCGAACAUCAAUUCAGGAAAUGAUUCUUGAGCGCUACAGUGAAAGUCUUUUAAACCUCUCUGGAUUUUGAAAGACUGCUCUU